rnacentral:pre_miRNA from 1 species
GAGGUACUCCCUCCAUUCCGAAUUACUUGUCGCACAUAUGGAUGUAUCUAGAUGUAUUUUAGUUCUAGAUACAUCCAUUUCAGCGACGAGUAAUUUGGGACGGAGGGAGUAGUAC